CGCUGGCGGCAGGCCUAACACAUGCAAGUCGAGCGGAUGAAAGGAGCUUGCUCCUGGAUUCAGCGGCGGACGGGUGAGUAAUGCCUAGGAAUCUGCCUGGUAGUGGGGGACAACGUUUCGAAAGGAACGCUAAUACCGCAUACGUCCUACGGGAGAAAGCAGGGGACCUUCGGGCCUUGCGCUAUCAGAUAAGCCUAGGUCGGAUUAGCUAGUUGGUGAGGUAAUGGCUCACCAAGGCGACGAUCCGUAACUGGUCUGAGAGGAUGAUCAGUCACACUGGAACUGAGACACGGUCCAGACUCCUACGGGAGGCAGCAGUGGGGAAUAUUGGACAAUGGGCGAAAGCCUGAUCCAGCCAUGCCGCGUGUGUGAAGAAGGUCUUCGGAUUGUAAAGCACUUUAAGUUGGGAGGAAGGGUUGUAGAUUAAUACUCUGCAAUUUUGACGUUACCGACAGAAUAAGCACCGGCU
rnacentral:rRNA from 1 species